CCUUGAUAAAAAAUUACAAAAUUUUCAGCCCUUGAAAAAAGCCCACAACAAAAUUUUCAUCCCUUGAAAAAGCCCAACAAAAUUUAAAAAUAUAGCCCAAACGUAACCAACAAACACAGAGCUCUUAUCACUCUUUCGUUGAAAGCCUGAAACUGAGAAAUCUCACAGAGCGCAUGGAGAUCUCAUAGAGCUCGACGAUCAUCGAUUAGGUACGAUCGCACAGCUCUGAUUAGGUACGAUCUCGGUUUUGUGACUCUUCCUCUCUCUUGGCGUUGUGUUUCUCAGCUCUGAUUAGGCUAUUCGGACGCUGAUCUCAGAGAGUGCUAGAUCUGGUUCCAAUCCUGUUCUUUCAACCUGCCUUUGCAUUUUCUUCCCAAAUGUGAUUUUAAAUAUAGCAAAAAGCUUACUUGGACUUGCCACAACUUCUUUCAGUGCAUUGUUUGGGCAGGCUUUUCCAUUGGAUUUAGUACUCUUUUCCGGUUGAGGACAACUUAAGAAAGAGAAGACAGGUCAUAGACCUAGUAGAAUUGAAUUAUUUGACAUCGCCCAUGUGCAAGCUAAUGGGCAGGCAGUAAAUGAACCAACACAAGAUGCAUUGCAACUUGCAAGCUAAUGAGCAACGUGAGAUGCUCCAUUCCUGAGUUUACUUGUGUUUCAUCUGCAAAGGUUGUAUUCCAAUUUCUCUCUUAAUGUGUUUUUUCCCUAACUUCUUUAUUAGUGUGUUUCAUACAAAAAUACCUGCACAUGAUAUAUGUUGUUCUCCCUUUUGAAAGCUUCCGUGAAAUAUUGUUCCAACUGAAUUUGUUUCCUCGUUGUACCAAGUGAUAUUAAUAAGAAAGUGGAACCAAUAUGUUGUCACCCAAUAGACAAUGAUUAAAUUUCAUAACUUAAACUUGCAUUUUACAGAUUUUUGAUUUAUAGAAAUAACUUGAGGAAAACUUUGAGCUCUUGCUAUUUUAAAGAAUAUAGCUUUCGUCUCCACUUUUCAAGUUUUAUGCACUUGAUCUAUAAUAAUUUUCUUGGUAGUGUGAGAAUAUAGGUAAUGGGUUAGUCUAAAAGCUACUAUGGAUCAGUUCAUUAUUGCUUUUAUCAUUACAAAUUUUAGUUGCUCUGUUGAGUUGUAUCACCUCACAAUCAGCCCAAUCUAGUAGUGAUCACUAAGCUAUGAAGAUCAUCUCAAGCUAGUCACUGUUUUAGUACUAUUGGAUAAAUUUGGAAUGACUUGUUGAGCUGUUGGUAUUAGUUUGCUUUUGCAAUCCUUAAUUGAUUUAUAUAACAUCUAACUGAUUGCUGAAACAAAAUGCGUACUGGAUUGCUAUUGUUAACAGCAAGUCAAAUAAUAAUAUGCAUGACUUAAUCUUUUCGCUAGCAUGCUUUGGUUGGCACAUUUCCAUGAUUUGGUAGGCCUCUCAAAUGAUUAUAUAUAUGGAUAAGUUUGGUGCUGAUGUAUAUCUGAUUUAUCUGUUGAAAGUUCAAUGUUGUGAUAUUCUUUUCCUUUAGUCUGUUGUUAAUUUGGGUUGCUGAUAUAAGGAAACAUGUGAAGAAUUAAGAAUUUGGGAAGGGACACGUAUAUAAAGCUGUGCAUGUAACCGAUUUUUAUUUCCUUUCAUCAACUUUGGCCUUAUAUAGGAUGUAUUAGGAUUUGUUCUGUUCACUUACUACCAUGUCAGAUUGUGCAAAGAACUUUGUUUUUACAAUUUAAAGCUCUUGCUUCUGUUGACUAUUGAAUUAGAUCAUAUAAAUAUUGAUCGGGUUAAUCUGACUUUUGGUAUCAUAUAAAUUCAUACAAUUAUGAGUUUUUGUGUAAUAUAUAUAUAUGUUUGUGCAUGAUUUUGUUUUUUU